rnacentral:lncRNA from 1 species
CCGCUCCCGCCGGGGUCGGCAUCGUCACGGCGUCCUUAAGGUUGGAAAAGAGCUCUGGGUUUAUCGAGUGCAACCUGUGACCGGACACAACCAUGUCAACUAAACCAUGGCACAGAGUCUUCCCUAAAACAACUCCCGGGACGGUGACUCCCCCAUCUCUCUGGACACUCCCUUCUGAAUAAUAAUCACCCUUUCUGUGAAGAAGUUCUUCCUAAUGUCCAACCUAAAGCUCCCUGCUGCAGUUUAAGACUUUGUCCUCCUAUCCUGUUCCCUGGGAAGUCCCUCUGCCGUCGCUGAGGGAGGCACCCAGCCGUGGAAGUGGCUAAGCACAGGACAAGAGAACAAGAUUCAUGCCCCGGCCCAAGCAGGGAGGGACCCUAUUUUGCACCUGAAAUGAUGAAUUAGAACUUUAAAAAGACAGACCACAGGGACACAUACAAACACUAAGGAAAACAGAUAAUUGCAAGAUCAACCAUAUGCUUCUGUUUAUACAAAUCUGGCAUGUUUUGGGAAUUUUAAGGUCAGUGUCCUUCCUAUGCUGGGGAGAGCAGAGCUGGAUGUGUAAUCCAAAAUGGAGAAUAUCACAUCAGUUUGUCUUUUUUUUGGGUAAUAAUUGUCUCUCAGGAAACUGA